CAGAGCCGGAAGGUGGCAGGAGCUGGAUGGAGCAGGGCCUUGUAGGCCAUGGCUUUAGAAAUAAGAUGCAUGGAAGUUUUUAAGCAGGAGUUAACAGUCUGACGGGGGCAGCCAAUGUGUUCCUGAAAGACUUCAGCUCCGAAGCAAUGAAUGAAAGCCCUGGAAGGAGGGAGGUGGCUGGAGCACAGGGUGAGACUUUUCAGAAACUACGGGAAUCCUGCCCCUGCUCUUUGCUUGCGGAAAGCUGGAAGAGGCCUGUCCCCCGUCUGUCCAUUUGGCAGAAAAAAGGAAAAAGAAGUUCACAGAAAAAGAGACCACUAACCACAAAGAAAAACCAGUUUUCCUAAAGAGUUCAGCUACCGAGAUGUGACAGCAAAUGUCUCUUCAUGACGCCAAGGAGAAUGAUGAGCUGAGCCCUGCUGACUGCUGCCAGACUUGGACUUUACAGUGCUUUUCUUUUAUAAAUCUUCUUAUUGACAUAUAAAAUAAAUACAGAAAUGAGCACAAUCAUAAACAUAUAGCUGGAAAAGUUUUCACCAGGUAAACACACAUGGGCAACCAGCAGCCAGGUCCAGAAAGAACAUCCCAGCCCCCCGAGGACCCCUCCUUUCUCCCCCAGUCCCCACUCCCCAGGGUAACCACUUACAUAUAAAUGGAAACUCAGAGCUCAGAGCACAUGCCUGUUUGUGUCUGGCUUCUUGAAUUUCCUCUUGGCAUGCUAUUGCAUUGCUAUACUUCAUUCCUUCUCAUUGCUGUGUACUAUUCUACCCCAUCGGGUGACUAUACCACAAUUUCUUUGUCUAUUCUACUGCCGAGACACGUUGGAUGGUUUGUGGUUGGGGCCUGCCAUGUGCAUUCUAUGCAAUGUCUUGUGGAAUCACCUCACAGUUUCAAUCUGCAUUUUCCUAAUGUUUAGUGGAAUUGGGCACCUCUUAACAUUCAUUAGCCAUUUGGAUAAUUUCUUUUGUGAAGUGUCUGUUCAAGUUCCUUGCCUGUUUUUCAAUGGGUUUGGCUUUUUCUUAUUUAUUGCUAGAAAAUUUUAAAAAUAUUCUGGGUGUAAGUGGUCAAAUGCAUGCAAAUAUCUUCUUUGUGGAUUGCCUUUAUACUUUCUUAAUGGUGUCUUCUGAUGCACAGAAAUUCAUAAUUUUAAUGUAGUCUGAUUUAUAAUGUUUUUCUUUUAUGAUUAGCAGCUUUUGUGUUCCGUUUAAGGAAUAUUUGUUUACUACAAAGUCGCAAUGACAUUCUCUUGUUUUAUUAUUUUAUUAUUUUGCUAUUUACAUUUAUACCUGCAAUUUAUCUGGAAUUUCUUUUUGUGGAUGGUGUGAGAGGGGUUUAAGAUUUCAAUUUUUUUCUAUAUGGAUUUUCACUUGACUCAGUGCCAUUCACUGGGAGGUCACAGGUGGAGGCAGGGAGGGGAAAUGUUUGCAGAGAAUUGGGGUCGAUGGCCAGGGUGAGCAGGUGGAGCACUCUCCUUUGCUCUGAUUGGUCUGUCUGAAGGUGACUCCUGUCUCCCAGACCCUGGGACAUAAGGCUUGUCCCCAAACUACUUCUCUUUGGCAGGGUCCUGUGCAAGAGGCUGUUCCCAUGUAAAAACCACCCCGCCCCUCCCACCGUGCCCAGGUGGAUUCCCCAGGGCUCGGAAGCUGCCUGAGGCUACUCUGGACAGACCCAGAUUUUACUCACUCAUUUACCCAUUUCUGCAUUCAUUCAUUCACCCCUUUCUUCCUCUCUCUUUUCUCCUUCCCUUCCUUUCCUUUUCCUCCCUCCCUCCCUUCUGUCCUUGAUCCCUCUAUAUAAAAUCUCACCCCCUGAUUCCCUCCUUUAUCUUCUCUUUAGCAUUUAGCACUAAUACCAUAUAUAUGUAUAUGUGUGUGUGUAUAUAUGUAAUAUGUGUGUAUGUAUAUAUACAUACCUGUUGCUUAUUUUUCAUUGAGGUUUAAUUUAUAUACAGUAAAAUGCACAGAUGUUGCCUAGUACAGCUGGGUGAGUUUUGACAGAUGUAUAUAUACAUCCAUAUCACCACCUCCCCAAUCAAAAUACCCAACAUCACCAUCCCCCAGGAGGACCCUUCGUGACCCAUCCAGUCAACCCUCCCUCUGCAGGCAGCCACUCUGCUCAUGUCUAUCACCAUAGAUUAGUUUUGCCUGUUCUUUUUUUUUAAAUGCAAUUUUAUUGACAUAUAUUCACACACCAUAUAGUCCUUCCAAAUUAUACAAUCAGCAGCUCACAGUAUCAUCAUAUAGUUGUGCAUUCAUCACCACAAUCAAUUUUAGAACAUUUUCAUUACUCCAAAAUAGAGGAAAAAAUAAGGUUUGCCUGUUCUUGACCUUCAUCUAAAUAAAUCCUACAGUAACACAAUACAUUUUACUUAUUUUUCUUGUUUACUGUCUGUCUCCUGACCAGAAUAUAAGCACUGUUUGUCUUGCUCACUGCUAACUUCCUCGCUCCUAGAACAGUACCUGGCACAUACUAGGCAAAAUAUUUGUUGAAUGAAUGAAUGAAUGAAGUUAUACAGUUACCCUUUUACUCACCUAUUUGCUCGUUCUUUUCUCUAGCAGGGGGCAGGAUAAGGUUAAAUAAGAGGGCCCCAGAAUUAGACUGCAUAUACUUACCUGCUUUCUGCACUAGGACAAGUUGCCUCUAUUUUACCAUCUGUAAAAUGGGGAUGUGAAUGGUCCCUACCUCAUAGGUUUGCAAAGAUGGAAGGAGUUAAUAUAUUUAAAACAUCUAAAACUUA